rnacentral:ncRNA from 2 species
GUCGUUACGGGAGAUGGCAUACCUCCACGAACCGCCGCCCGACCGGUGCGGCUGAUGAUGCCUACGGUUCC